GGGUUGUGAGGUUAAGCGACUAAGCGUACACGGUGGAUGCCCUGGCAGUCAGAGGCGAUGAAGGGCGUGCUAAUCUGCGAUAAGCGCCGGUAAGGUGAUAUGAACCGUUAUAACCGGCGAUACCCGAAUGGGGAAACCCAGUGUGACUCGUCACACUAUCAUUAACUGAAUCCAUAGGUUAAUGAGGCGAACCGGGGGAACUGAAACAUCUAAGUACCCCGAGGAAAAGAAAUCAACCGAGAUUCCCCCAGUAGCGGCGAGCGAACGGGGAGGAGCCCAGAGCCUGAAUCAGCAUGUGUGUUAGUGGAAGCGUCUGGAAAGGCGCGCGAUACAGGGUGACAGCCCCGUACACAAAAGCGCAUGUGCUGUGAGCUCGAUGAGUAGGGCGGGACACGUGGUAUCCUGUCUGAAUAUGGGGGGACCAUCCUCCAAGGCUAAAUACUCCUGACUGACCGAUAGUGAACCAGUACCGUGAGGGAAAGGCGAAAAGAACCCCGGCGAGGGGAGUGAAAAAGAACCUGAAACCGUGUACGUACAAGCAGUGGGAGCACCCUUUGGGUGUGACUGCGUA
rnacentral:rRNA from 2 species